rnacentral:rRNA from 1 species
AACGAACGCUGGCGGCAUGCCUAACACAUGCAAGUCGAACGAGAUCUUCGGGUCUAGUGGCGCACGGGUGCGUAACGCGUGGGAAUCUGCCCUUUGGUUCGGAAUAACAGUUGGAAACGACUGCUAAUACCGGAUGACGACGAAAGUCCAAAGAUUUAUCGCCAGAGGAUGAGCCCGCGUAGGAUUAGCUAGUUGGUGUGGUAAAGGCGCACCAAGGCGACGAUCCUUAGCUGGUCUGAGAGGAUGAUCAGCCACACUGGGACUGAGACACGGCCCAUACUCCUACUGGAGGCAGCAGUGCGGAAUAUUGGACAAUGGGCGAAAGCCUGAUCCAGACAUGCCGCGUGAGUGAUGAAGGCCUUAGGGUUGUAAAGCUCUUUUACCCGUGAUGAUAAUGACAGUACCGGGAGAAUAAGCUCCGGCUAACUCCGUGCCAGCCGCCGCGGUAA